rnacentral:rRNA from 1 species
UGCAAGUAUCGGGUGAAUAAGCAUCGGCUAACUCCGUGCCAGCAGCCGCGGUAAUACGGAGGAUGCGAGCGUUAUCCGGAUUUAUUGGGUUUAAAGGGUGCGUAGGCGGGAUGCUAAGUCAGUGGUCAAAGCGUGUGGCUCAACCAUACCAAGCCGUUGAAACUGGCGUCCUUGAGUGUAAACGAGGUAGGCGGAAUAUCAUGUGUAGCGGUGAAAUGCUUAGAUAUGUGAUAGAACCCCGAUUGCGAAGGCAGCUUACCAGCAUACAACUGACGCUGAGGCACGAAAGCGUGGGUAUCAAACAGGAUUAGAUACCCUG